UUAAGUUCAGCGGGUAGUCCUACCUGAUUUGAGGCCAGAUUUCAAAGCUUAUGCUUGUGACCGCCACUCUGAGAGGCAGGUCGGGGAAGGGCACAGGAGGGGAACAUCUCUGUCGAGCGAGGAUGGUACAACGCCCAGUCGAGUUCGACCCGCAGGCCCAACCGAUGCAUUUGAGAGGAGCCGCCUCACGGCAGCAGAGC
rnacentral:misc_RNA from 1 species